GGACCCGCACAAGCGGUGGAGUAUGUGGUUUAAUUCGAUGCAACGCGAAAAACCUUACCAGGGUUUGAAAUAAUUUCAAAACUUCUCGAAAGAGAAGCCUCCUUCGGGAUGGAAUUACAGGUGGUGCAUGGCUGUCGUCAGCUCGUGUUGUGAAAUGUCAAGUUAAGUCUUGUAACGAGCGCAACCCAUGUCUCUUGUUGCUGUUUACAGUGCUUAAAAAGAGACUGCCGCUCUACAGCGGAGGAAGGUGUGGAUGAUGUCAAGUCAGCAUGCCCCUUAUAUCUUGGGCUACACACGUACUACAAUGGUAGGGACAAUGAGUCGCAAACCUGCGAAGGCUAGCCAAUCUCAAAAACCCUAUCUCAGUUCGGAUUGUACUCUGCAACUCGAGUGCAUGAAGGUGGAAUCGCUAGUAAUCGC
rnacentral:rRNA from 1 species